rnacentral:siRNA from 1 species
GCUAUCCAUCCUGAGUUUC